rnacentral:tRNA from 1 species
GGGUGGCUGGCCGAGCGGUCGAAGGCACCGGUCUUGAAAACCGACGGGCGUGAAAGCGUCCCCAGGGUUCGAAUCCCUGGCCACCCUCCA